AGGCGCUGGAGGUGGCGUGCGCUAGGGGAAGUGCUGGCAGGGCCCGGACAUGGGGCCGGUGGCGCUGGGGCGGCCAGGCGCGAGCACUGGCGCUUGGGAGGGAGGCCGGAGUGCGGGACAGGCGUGGCAGGUAGUGGGCAGGGAAGGAGGGGAAAGAAAGAGAAGAAGGAAAUAGGGGAGAGCAAAAAGAAAGGGGGAAAGGAAACAAAAAGAGAGAUAGGAAAAGAGAAGGAAAAAGGAAUAAAAAGAAAAUGAGUUAAGGUAGAAAGGAUUGGAGUAAAAAGAUAGAAUUAGAUUGUGUGAAAAGUUAAAGAAAUUGAUAAGAUUGGGAGGGAGACGGCGGUGAUCGAGGAAGCGGUCACGAGCACGCGCGGCGGUCUUCCGACCGGCACGUGACGUGACUCGCGGAGAGGAAAAGGAAGAAAAAAGAGGGUGGUCGGCGGAGAUUUGCGGAAGCGGUCAGAUCCGCAACGAGGCACGAUGCGUGGGUGAAAAAGAAAGAAAAUGGACGGUGUUCGGCUUUGGUGCUGGGACAGCGGAAUCGUUGGGAUGGCGGAAUCGCCGGGAAGAUGGGAUUUGGGAGAUCAAAUGGUGAAAAGAUUUUGAAAAUGAUUUUUAGCUUGUGAUUUAUAUUGGUGAAUUUUUUCGGGACGUUACAGAUGUUUGAUCUCCAAUGUGUGCAGGAUUGAGUAGGUAGCAAAUCCAAUCGGAAAAAUGAUGUUUGAUUGCCAAUGGGCACAUGAAUAAUUAGUAAGCAAACCCAAUUGCAGGGAGAUUUCUUUGGUUUCCAAUGUUAACAUGUGUGUAAGUAAGCACAUGCAACCAAAGGAAGGGAUAUUUGAUCUCCAAUGUGCGCAUGAUUGAGUAGUUAGGAAAUUGUUGACGCCAGAUUUCGUCACUAGUGAAAUCGGCGCCAAGAAGAGAGGAAACUGGAAAAGUACAGUUGGAAAUCGGCCGAAUGGUGCUACAGUACAAGAUCGGCCGAUGACUUCUGCCUCGCUUCGAGUCGGGCGUGCCGGGUUCCCA
rnacentral:lncRNA from 1 species